GUCCCGCGACUGAACUUUCUACGGGCACAUCGCAGUCAUCCUCAUUAGAUCGUAAUCCAACCAGCCACCCAAUCCAUCAAUCCUGCCCUUAAUUUCUGAUUCAUGUGUGUGUUUGUGUGUAGGAGGAGAACCCCGAGGCAGUGGACAAUCUUGGCACGUUUGUUCCCUCCGAUCGCCCGGUCCUUAAUAAUGACUUUUUCUACAAGAAGCGACACUCCAAAUGCGGCAUGGCAACUUCAUUAAAGAUGAUCUAAUCUGGAGUCUGCAGGCCUUGUGUCUGUGAGUUCUGGUCUUCCACACAAUAUGGGGACGAAUGCCUAACAAAUGACAUCAUGGGGACAUCUUUCAGCGUGGGGACCAAAAAUCAAGGGAAGCCCAAAAUACGAAAUGUUAAGGUUUUAGCAUUAAUGUAGGUGUGUGCACUGGUUUUCACCAUUGUGGAGGAACAAGAGUGAUCUUGCAGUCACCUCAUGAAAAUCAUGUCAAUGUGGGGACCAAAAAAAAAAAAAAAAUCAAGGAAAGCUCCAAUUCUGAAAGUGUUAACCAUUUACUGUAUGUGUCUGUGUGUGUGUGUUCCAAAAGUCAGUCUACAUACACUGUCAAGUCACGGGGAUAUCUUUCAGUUUGGGGAACAAACGGCGAGGAAAGACCAAACUAUGAAUGUAAUAUUCUAGAGGUUUCUUUGACAUUUUUAGAAUUGGUAGAUUCAUGCAUGUGUAUGUGUGUUCUGGUAUUCAUGAACAUGUGGGGAGAUAUGACAGUUCACAGAGCCAUGAUUUUUUUUUUUAAUGUUUUAAGUGGCCCCUUUCACUGAUGUCAAACAUGAACUUACAAGAAUUUAGUCAGAAAUAGUGCAAAAAAUGUGCACUGUCACAUAGUAUCUGCAGAAAAAAAGUAAAAAUAAAACGUAAAAUAUUGUCAUGAGAAUGCUACAUUUUAUUUGCUUCACCCCCCCUCCCCCCAAAAAAUUUUUAAAAAUAAACAUUUUCAAGUACUACAAAAAAAUGUUCUCGACCGCAUUGCACUUUUGUGCAAAAUCCUACUCAACUCAAUUCAAGCGACAGCAGACACUUUGAAUUAGACGCUGAACAAUGAAAGGAAUUCAAAUUGACAUCGCGAUUUAGUGGAAUGCUAUUUUCAAAUGGUAAAGGAUGCAGUCUGGGGAAAAAAAAAAACCUUUGCUUAGUCUGUGUUAUUUUUCCAUCUGUAAUUUAUGUAUUUAUAUGGCGUCUCAAUAAGUUCAGUGCUUUUAAGUGCGGUCCAGAUGUUGACAUAAAAAGCUGAAGUGACAAAGCCAUAGAUUGGUUUGCAUGAGCUGAUUUAUGACAGAUUCAUGCGUGCAUCACACUUGGGUCUGUAGAAUUUUGUGAAGCGGUCGUCGUGAGCACUUGGAAGACUGCAAGUCCAAUCGCAACUCUUAGGUGAAGUCGCUAAACUGACUUUCAAUUCAUGGUUAAUUUGCCUUUAUUUUAGCAUAAGCUAAAGCUACGAGAACAAACAUGUAUAAGUCUGAUAUCUGUCUGAUAUUUAUUGUAACAGAUUACUUUAUUGCUGGGGCUCUUAAAAAAAAAAAUACAUGAAAAUAGACAUUGGGGAAAAAAUAAUCACAUAUUUUGCAGUCGUACUAUUGAGGAGUUUGGGGUGGGGGAAUUGCAAUGAGAUGAUAGUUCAAAAUCAUUCAUUCCUAAUUAAAAGUACCAAAAAAAAAAAAGCUGUGUUCCCCUGUUAAUAGAUCCCAUUGACAUUAAAACUGCACUUUUGCUUCUCAUCCAGCUGCAGCAAAGCUUCACAGUUGUGAGGGCGAGCUGACAUGAUGAAUGAGCACCCAAAAGUCGGACAAUGAGCUGCAUCAUUUCCUGAAGGAAACCGAGAUUCGAACAGAAACCCGCUGAACUGUGGUGGUGCUAACCAAAAAUCUUCUGCUGACACUGGUAACGUGCUGGAAGCAAAAUCAAAAACAAGAACGGAGAUACUGAGCCUGGAGGCCCUCAAUCGGAUCCCAAUGGUAUGGGCAGAAAUAUUCAUUUUCACUUGUCAGCGGACCGGCCACAUGUCACAACACAAGAGACGAAGUGAGUCACAAAGCUGCAUUCAUGUAUGAAAGUAAUUAAUCUGCGGUCCCGCUAAAUUCACUGGCGGGAUUGUUCGACAUAUGUCAGCGGUCGUGUCAAUUGUGCAGCAGAACAAGCAGGCUGCGGCGCGACAGUGUGAGAAGCGCAUACCAGAGAGGGGCUCAGUGAAAGUCAAGGGGAAGCGAAAAAGGGCCAUCAUAUUUAAACAUAAAUUUUCAGCCGCGAUCGCAUCAAACCCAAGUGAGCCCAGCUUACCCCUUUGGUGAACUCUUACAGUGAAGUGACGACACACGGCGGCCGAAGCCCUUACUGCCUGCGCAAAAAUUUUUUUUUAAUCUUCUAAAUAUUAAAGCAUCCUGAAUGUGCCCAUCACAUGAAUAAUUUGUUUAAAAGUAUAC